rnacentral:rRNA from 1 species
ACCUGUCUCAGUUCGGAUUGGAGUCUGCAACUCGACUCCAUGAAGCUGGAUUCGCUAGUAAUCGCGCAUCAGCCAUGGCGCGGUGAAUACGUUCCCGGGCCUUGUACACACCGCCCGUCAAGCCAUGGAAGCCGGGAGUGCCUGAAGUGUGCAACCGCAAGGAGCGCCCUAAGGUAAAACCGGUGACUGGGGCUAAGUCGUAACAAGGUAGC